rnacentral:rRNA from 1 species
AUUGAACGCUGGCGGCAUGCCUUACACAUGCAAGUCGAACGGUAACGCGGGGCAACCUGGCGACGAGUGGCGAACGGGUGAGUAAUGCAUCGGAACGUGCCCAGUAGUGGGGGAUAACUGCUCGAAAGAGCAGCUAAUACCGCAUACGACCUGAGGGUGAAAGCGGGGGAUCGCAAGACCUCGCGCUAUUGGAGCGGCCGAUGUCAGAUUAGGUAGUUGGUGGGGUAAAGGCCCACCAAGCCAACGAUCUGUAGCUGGUCUGAGAGGACGACCAGCCACACUGGGACUGAGACACGGCCCAGACUCCUACGGGAGGCAGCAGUGGGGAAUUUUGGACAAUGGGCGCAAGUCUGAUCCAGCCAUGCCGCGUGCGGGAAGUAGGCCUUCGGGUUGUAAACCGCUUUUGUCAGGGAAGAAACGCUCUGGGUUAAUACCUCGGGGUAAUGACGGUACCUGAAGAAUAAGCACCGGCUAACUACGUGCCAGCCGCCGCCGUAAAAC